AGCAGCCGCGGUAAUUCCAGCUCCAAUAGCGUAUAUUAAAGUUGUUGCAGUUAAAAAGCUCGUAGUUGAAUUUCGGGAUUAGUACGUUGGUCGUGCCUUCGGUACGUACUGGUGUUACUGGUUCCUACCUUCUGACGAACCAUCAUGUCAUUAAUUUGGUGUGGUGGGGAAUCAGGACUGUUACUUUGAAAAAAUUAGAGUGUUUAAAGCAGGCUCGCGCUUGAAUACAUUAGCAUGGAAUAAUGAAAUAGGACGUUGACCCUAUUUUGUUGGUUUCUAGGAUUGACGUAAUGAUUAAUAGGGAUAGUUGGGGGCAUUAGUAUUCAAUUGUCAGAGGUGAAAUUCUUGGAUUUAUUGAAGACUAACUACUGCGAAAGCAUUUGCCAAGGAUGUUUUCAUUAAUCAAGAACGAAAGUUAGGGGAUCGAAGGCGAUCAGAUACCGUCGUAGUCUUAACCAUAAACUAUGCCGACUAGGGAUCGGAUGAUGUUAAUUUAAUGACUCA
rnacentral:rRNA from 1 species